UACAGAGGAGCCAAGCGUUGUCCGGAUUGACUGGGCGUAAAGCGCACGCAGGCGGAUGCGCGCGUGGGGUCGUGAAAGUCUGGCCGCUUAACGGCCAGGCGCCAUCCCAUACGGCGGCGUCUGGAGUGAUGCAGAGGUCGGUGGAAUUGCCGGUGUAGUGGUGAAAUGCGUAGAGAGUCGGCAGGAACACCCAGGGGGUAAAC
rnacentral:rRNA from 1 species